AUCGAUUUAGUGUAUUUAAAAACCAAAAAUCGAUAAAUCAAAUUGAUAAUACUUAAAAUCGAACAGAACCGAACCGAAUCGACCAAUACACACCCUAAUCUCAAUUACAACCGCAAUUGCAAUCGAAGGCUUCUUAUUCUCUUCCUCUUCCCAUUUGUAAGUUUAAUCUAAAUUUUUUUGCAAUUUUUGUUAUUUGAUUAGGUUUUCAUAACUGAUUUGUUGUAUUUUGGGUAUAUUGUGGACUUUCUCUGUGAAGUUGUGGAUUUGGGGUAUUUUUAUUUUGAUUUCUCUCCGAUUCUGAUUCGCUUGAAAUUGAAGCCGACAAUAGCAUUGAAGAUUUCAAUUGCAAUUACAACCGCAAUCGCAAUCGAAGUCUUCUUAUUUUCUUUCUCUUCCCAUUUGCAAGUUUCAUCUUCUUCUUUUUGCAAGUUUUGUCAGUUUGAUUAGGUUUUCAUAUCUGAUUUGUUGUAUUUUGGGCAUACUGUGGAUCUAUGAAGUUGUGGAUUUAGGGUAUUUCUACUUUGAUUUCUCUCCGACUCUAGUUCACUUGAAAUUGAAGUCAAUAAUGGCAUUGAAGAUUUCAAUCUCAAUUGCAAUCGAAAGCUUCUUAUUCUCUUUCUUUUCCCAUUUAUUUGGAAGCAGAAGUUGAUGCAAAUGGGGCUAAUAUAGAGGACCGAAUUACCAAAAUAUGUUAUCUAUGUUUUUGCCAUGGAUGCAAAUUCGCUUUCUUCAAAAACUUUUGAAAGAACAAAAGCUGUUUCAAAGUGAAGGAUAGCAUGCUAACAUAGAAUACAAUAUGGAUCCAGCAUCAUACAAGGAUUUUAUGUAGUUCAACCUUCAAGAUUUGAUGUACUAAGACUAUUGAUUAUUUUUCUUGAUAAACUUUGAGAUAAUUGUAUGAACACAAUUUAGCCAGGCUUAAUAAAAGCACAUUCACAUUUGAA